UGAGAACAGAGGCAGAGCCUCAGAGGAGGACAGCUGCACAUCUGGGAUCCGGGGAGAGGAGGGCAUGGCCAAAAGGGAGAGAGAGGGUGGUCCGUGGAAGUGUGUGUGGGUGUUGGGUGGACCCCCAGAAUGAGGGGGGCUGAGGGCAGAUUCCUAGAGCAGAGACCAGGGUGUGCUAAGUCUAAGCAGAAUGGGCAGGGAUGCCUCCAGCUGGGCUUUGAGGGUGUCAGUCUUCCCUCAAAUAGGAAAGAUGAGGGGCAGGGGAGGAUAUUAGGGACAAGCCUCUGCUCAGCCCUGGGUCCUCUUGGAACCGGGCUUGGAGCCGGAGGUGGGGAGGGUGCCCAAGCUGAGCUCCUGGAUUCCCAUCUGCCGAACUGCACCCAGAACCAGGAGUGGGGUGUGGGCCCAUCCUCUGGCCAGGAUCCUGGGCUCCCUUGGCCACAAAGCAGGACAGGGGACCAGAGAUCCCCCAACUCAGGAGACAUGAAGCUGGCAGCUGGGCCGCUGGCCUAGAAAUGGCCUCAAAUGGAAGCUGCCACCCGAUCCUGGUGGAGGCUUUGGAGCUAGGCUAGAGAUCAGGACUCCGGGGUUCAGUGCGCACGUGCUGCCCCUGCACUAGGGCCGAAGCAAUGCGGGUGCUGGCGACCGACGCAAGGAGGUGACGCACAGGGGACUUAAGGAGCGGACCGCCGCGGGAGGACGCGCCCAGGUCAGGGGGACUCCCUCUGCGCCCCCUACGCUGGGUCUCCGGCCCACGCGUGGCCCGGCUGGUCUGCGGAGCUAGCGCCAGGGCCGCCAGAGGGCGCCCGGGGCGGAGGAUGGGACGGG
rnacentral:lncRNA from 1 species